rnacentral:miRNA from 1 species
AGACCAGACCAUGCACAGUGGG